CCCUUAGAUGUUCUGGGCAGCACGCGCGCUACAAUGGUCUUCGCAAACGGAUGCAUUCUCGAAGGAGAAUGCCAAUCUUGGAAUCUAUGCCUUGGUCGGGACAGUUGCUUGCAAUUUUUCGACUCGAACCAGGAAUUCCUUGUAAUCGUGAUUCAUCACAUCACGAUGAAUACGUCCCUGCCCUUUGUACACACCGCCCGUCGCUCCUACCGAUCGAAGAGUUAGGUGAAUUGUUUUGAUCGAUAAGAUUUGACUAUGGUCAACUCUCGUUGUGAAAUUCUGUGAAUCUGACUGUUUAGAGGAAGGAAAAGGCGUAACA
rnacentral:rRNA from 1 species